rnacentral:rRNA from 2 species
GGUUAAGCGACUAAGCGUACACGGUGGAUGCCCUGGCAGUCAGAGGCGAUGAAGGACGUGCUAAUCUGCGAAAAGCGCCGGCGAGGUGAUAUGAACCCUUGACCCGGCGAUGUCCGAAUGGGGAAACCCAGUGCAAUCCGUUGCACUAUCGUUAACUGAAUACAUAGGUUAACGAGGCGAACCGGGGGAACUGAAACAUCUAAGUACCCCGAGGAAAAGAAAUCAACCGAGAUUCCCCCAGUAGCGGCGAGCGAACGGGGAGCAGCCCGGAGUCUGAAUCAGCUUGUGUGUUAGUGGAACGGUCUGGAAAGUCCGACGGUACAGGGUGAUAGUCCCGUACACGAAAGCACACUUGCUGUGAACUCGAAGAGUAGGGCGGGACACGUGGUAUCCUGUCUGAAUAUGGGGGGACCAUCCUCCAAGGCUAAAUACUCCUGACUGACCGAUAGUGAACCAGUACCGUGAGGGAAAGGCGAAAAGAACCCCGGCGAGGGGAGUGAAAAAGAACCUGAAACCGUGUACGUACAAGCAGUGGGAGCCUCUUUAUGGGGUGACUGCGUACCUUUUGUAUAAUGGGUCAGCGACUUAUAUUCUGUAGCAAGGUUAACCGUAUAGGGGAGCCGAAGGGAAACCGAGUCUUAACUGGGCGUUAAGUUGCAGGGUAUAGACCCGAAACCCGGUGAUCUAGCCAUGGGCAGGUUGAAGGUUGGGUAACACUAACUGGAGGACCGAACCGACUAAUGUUGAAAAAUUAGCGGAUGACCUGUGGCUGGGGGUGAAAGGCCAAUCAAACCGGGAGAUAGCUGGUUCUCCCCGAAAGCUAUUUAGGUAGCGCCUCGUGAACUCAUCUUCGGGGGUAGAGCACUGUUUCGGCUAGGGGGCCAUCCCGGCUUACCAACCCGAUGCAAACUACGAAUACCGAAGAAUGUUAUCACGGGAGACACACGGCGGGUGCUAACGUCCGUCGUGAAGAGGGAAACAACCCAGACCGCCAGCUAAGGUCCCAAAGUCAUGGUUAAGUGGGAAACGAUGUGGGAAGGCACAGACAGCCAGGAUGUUGGCUUAGAAGCAGCCAUCAUUUAAAGAAAGCGUAAUAGCUCACUGGUCGAGUCGGCCUGCGCGGAAGAUGUAACGGGGCUAAACCAUGCACCGAAGCUGCGGCAGCGACGCUUAUGCGUUGUUGGGUAGGGGAGCGUUCUGUAAGCCGUUGAAGGUGUGCUGUGAGGCAUGCUGGAGGUAUCAGAAGUGCGAAUGCUGACAUAAGUAACGAUAAAGCGGGUGAAAAGCCCGCUCGCCGGAAGACCAAGGGUUCCUGUCCAACGUUAAUCGGGGCAGGGUGAGUCGACCCCUAAGGCGAGGCCGAAAGGCGUAGUCGAUGGGAAACAGGUUAAUAUUCCUGUACUUGGUGUUACUGCGAAGGGGGGACGGAGAAGGCUAUGUCAGCCGGGCGACGGUUGUCCCGGUUUAAGCAUGUAGGCGGAGGUUCCAGGUAAAUCCGGUACCUUAUUAACGCUGAGGUGUGAUGACGAGGCACUACGGUGCUGAAGUGAUAAAUGCCCUGCUUCCAGGAAAAGCCUCUAAGCAUCAGGUAACACGAAAUCGUACCCCAAACCGACACAGGUGGUCAGGUAGAGAAUACCAAGGCGCUUGAGAGAACUCGGGUGAAGGAACUAGGCAAAAUGGUGCCGUAACUUCGGGAGAAGGCACGCUGAUGUGUAGGUGAAG